rnacentral:rRNA from 1 species
UAAAAAAAUAGUAAGAGCAUAUGGUGAAUGCCUUGGAAAAUGGAGCCGAAGAAGGACGUGACUACCUGCGAUAAGUCUGGGGGAGCUGGAAGUGAGCUUCGAUCCCGGAAUUUCCGAAUGGGGAAACCU